rnacentral:rRNA from 1 species
GACAGAGGGUGCAAACGUUGUUCGGAAUUACUGGGCGUAAAGCGAGUGUAGGCGGUUCGGUAAGUCGGAUGUGAAAGCCCCGGGCUUAACCCGGGAAGUGCACUCGAUACUGCCGAGCUAGAGUAUCGGAGAGGUUGGUGGAAUUCUCGGUGUAGAGGUGAAAUUCGUAGAUAUCGAGAGGAACACCGGUGGCGAAGGCGGCCAACUGGACGAAUACUGACGCUGAGACUCGAAAGCGUGGGGAGCAAACAGG